rnacentral:rRNA from 1 species
AAUCAACGCUGGCGGCGUGCCUCAGACAUGCAAGUCGAACGAUUAAGACUUCCUUCGGGAAGUGUAUAAAGUGGCGCACGGGUGAGUAACACGUAAGUAAUCUACCUUCGAGUGGGGAAUAACGUUCGGAAACGAACGCUAAUACCGCAUAAUGCAGCGGCACCUAAUGGUGACAGUUGUUAAAGGAGCAAUUCGCUUGAAGAGGAGCUUGCGGCAGAUUAGCUAGUUGGUAAGGUAAUGGCUUACCAAGGCUACGAUCUGUAACCGGUCUAAGAGGACGGUCGGUCACACUGACACUGAAUAAAGGGUCAGACUCCUACGGGAGGCAGCAGUCGGGAAUUUUGGGCAAUUGGCGAAAGCCUGACCCAGCAACGCCGCGUAAAGGAUGAAGUAUUUCGGUAUGUAAACUUCGAAAGAAUGGGAAGAAUCAAUGGCGGUACCAUUUAUAAGGUCCGGCUAACUACGUGCCAGCCGCCGCCGUAAUAC